rnacentral:rRNA from 1 species
GAGUUUGAUCGUGGCUCAGAAUCAACGCUGGCGGCGUGCCUCAGACAUGCAAGUCGAACGAGACCUUCGGGUCUAGUGGCGGACGGGUGAGUAACGCGUGGGAACCUGCACUUCAGUGGGGGAUAACGACGGGAAACUGUCGCUAAUACCGCAUACGCCCUACGGGGAAGAUUUAUCGCUGAAGGAUGGGCCCGCGUCGGAUUAGCUAAUUGGUGAGGUAACGGCUCACCAAGGCGACGAUCCGUAGCUGGUCUAAGAGGAUGAUCAGCCACACUGGGACUGAGACACGGCCCAGACUCCUACGGGAGGCAGCAGUGGGGAAUAUUGGACAAUGGGGGAAACCCUGAUCCAGCAAUGCCGCGUGAGUGAUGAAGGCCUUAGGGUUGUAAAGCUCUUUCGGUGGUGACGAUGAUGACGGUAACCACAGAAGAAGCCCCGGCUAACUCCGUGCCAGCAGCCGCCGUAAC